CAAAGAAUGAGCCAGGCAUGGUGGCACACACCUGUAACCCUAGCACUCUGGAAGUCUGAGGCAGAAGUAUCGAUCAGAAGUAAAGAAUGAUAACCAUUUUAAACCUGUUUUCCUGGAAGGAUUGUUCUUCAAAACCAAAUGAUCUUCUGUGUCUGACAUCUGAGAAAGCUCCUACCUUGGACGAAUGUUUACAUCACACCUACCCAGACAAUCUCUGCAUCUGAAAGGUCAGCUGUACCAUCAUGUAUCAUGCUUUUAUGUCAUAUCCAUAUCUGCCAGGUAUAUCGUCAGGUAUAUGACAGUAAUGAUAACAUAGUACUAUUACACUGGAAGAAAUCAAAAUCAUACUUGUACUGAUAUUUGUAAUGCUGUUACUGUUACUUAAGCAGCUGUGAAAGAGGAAGGCACUUUUGACAUAGUCUCAGCAAAUGAACAUUUACUGUGCAGUGAAGC
ensembl:lncRNA